rnacentral:rRNA from 1 species
UACGUAGGGCGCGAGCGUUGUCCGGAAUCAUUGGGCGUAAAGAGCUCGUAGGCGGCCUGUCGCGUCUGCUGUGAAAUCCCGGGGCUUAACCCCGGGCGUGCAGUGGAUACGGGCUGGCUGGAGGCAGGCAGGGGAGAACGGAAUUCCCGGUGUAGCGGUGAAAUGCGCAGAUAUCAGGAAGAACACCCGUGGCGAAGGCGGCUCUCUGGGACGGUACUGACGCUGAGACGCGAAAGCGUGGGGAGCGAACAGG